UACGGGGGGGGCUAGCGUUGUUCGGAAUUACUGGGCGUAAGGGCGCUUAGGCGGCCUACUAAGUCGGACGUGAAAUCCCUCGGCUCAACCGGGGAACUGCGUCCGAUACUGGUGGGCUCGAAUCCGGGAGAGGGAUGUGGAAUUCCAGGUGUAGCGGUGAAAUGCGUAGAUAUCUGGAGGAACACCGGUGGCGAAGGCGGCAUCCUGGACCGGUAUUGACGCUGAUGCGCGAAAGCCAGGGGAGCAAACGGG
rnacentral:rRNA from 1 species